UAGUCAUAUGCUUGUCUCAAAGAUUAACCCAUGCAUGUCUAAUUAUAAGCAAUUAUACCGCGAAACUGCGAAGGGCUCAUUAUAUAAGUUAUCGUUUAUUUGAUAGUACCUUACUACUUGGAUAACCGUGGUAAUUCUAAAGCUAAUACAUGCUAAAAAUCCCGACUUCGGAAGGGAUGUAUUUAUUAAAUUAAAAACCAAUGCCCUUCGGGGCUCACUGGUGAUUCAUGAUAACUCCUCGAAUCGCAGGGCCUUGUGCCGGCAAUGGUUCAUUCAAAUUUCUUCCCUAUCAACUUUCGAUGUUUGGGUAUUGGCCAAACAUGGUUGCAACGGGUAACGGAGGGUUAGGGCUCGACCCCGGAAAAGGAGCCUGA
rnacentral:rRNA from 1 species